rnacentral:rRNA from 1 species
AGCAGCCGCGGUAAUUCCAGCUCCAAUAGCGUAUAUUAAAGUUGUUGCAGUUAAAAAGCUCGUAGUUGAAUUUCGGGGUCAGUAGGUUGGUCGUGCCACCGGUAUGCACUGGCCUCACUGAUUCCUCCUUCUUGUAGAACCGUAAUGCCAUUAAGUUGGUGUUGCGGGGAAACAGGACUGUUACUUUGAAAAAUUGAGUGUUUAAAGCAAGCUAACGCUUGAAUACAUUAGCAUGGAAUAAUGAAAUAGGACGAACGAUCCUAUUUUGUUGGUUUCUAGGAUUGACGUAAUGAUUAAUAGGGAUAGUUGGGGCAUUAGUAUUCAAUUGU